UACGUAGGGAGCAAGCGUUGUCCGGAAUCAUUGGGCGUAAAGCGCGCGUAGGCGGCCCCGUAAGUCCGCUGUGAAAGUCAAAGGCUCAACCUUUGAAAGCCGGUGGAUACUGUGGGGCUAGAGUCCGGAAGAGGCGAGUGGAAUUCCCGGUGUAGCGGUGAAAUGCGCAGAUAUCGGGAGGAACACCAAUGGCGAAGGCGGCCUUCUGGACUGACACUGACGCUGAGGCGCGAAAGCCAGGGGAGCAAACGGG
rnacentral:rRNA from 1 species